rnacentral:rRNA from 1 species
UACGUAGGGUGCGAGCGUUGUCCGGAAUUAUUGGGCGUAAAGAGCUCGUAGGCGGUGUGUCACGUCGGCCGUGAAAACCUGGGGCUUAACUCUGGGCGUGCGGUCGAUACGGGCAUCACUAGAGUUCGGCAGGGGAGACUGGAAUUCCAGGUGUAGCGGUGAAAUGCGUAGAUAUCUGGAGGAAUACCGGUGGCGAAGGCGGCAUCCUGGACCGAGAUUGACGCUGAUGAGCGAAAGCUAGGGGAGCAAACGGG